rnacentral:rRNA from 1 species
GGCGAACGGGUGAGUAACACAUAAGUAAUCUACCCCUGAGUGGGGAAUAACCCCGGGAAACCGAGGUUAAUACCGCAUGUGAUGGUGAGAUGUUGGUCUCGCUAUUAAAGCCGUAAGGCGCUUGGGGAGGAGCUUGUGUCCGAUUAGCUAGUUGGUGGGGUAAAGGCUCGCCAAGGUUAUGAUCGGUAGCUGGUCUGAGAGGACGAGCAGCCACACUGGGACUGAGACACGGCCCAG